AUUCUCUGUGUCAGGAAUUUAAGAGCAGUGCCGUGAUGAUGGCAUACUUCUACUUCACAAAUAUGCAGCCUUGGCUCAGAAGACUCAGACAGCUGGAGGUGAUCAAAUGAUGAUCAGUUGCUUCCAUUUGAAUCACUGUCAAGAAAGAAUGAAGCAGCCAAUUCUUUUGGAGGAAGUUGAUAGUCUCUUUUUGGUAAACAUGUGAGUUUGAAACAGAAGGAAGUUUGCAAGAAAACAUCAAAAAGUUAUCAGACAUGUUUCUUCCUCCAAUAGGUGUCAGUUGGCCCACGGAAAAAUCCACCCAUAAAAAGUAAAUGUAAGCUCACUUUCUUAAAGAUUCUGUAGGUUGUAUAUUUGUUGGGCUUUUAAUCUGUUUCCAGCAUUUUCUACUAUAAAAAAUGAAGCUGUGAAUGUACUUUUUCUUGUAUCUUUAUGCAUAUGUAUAAGUUUCUCCACAUAAUAAUUUCCAAGAACUGAACUGCUGGGUCAAAUGGAAUGAAACGAUAUUGAUUUGACAAGACAAAUUGUCUUUUAAAGAGGUUAUUCUGACCCUGUAUGAAAGUAUGGGGAUUUUGAAUGCUCUUGAUGUAUACUAAAAUGAUGUAUACUAAAAUAGGUACAUUGUAGUACUUUACACACACAGAAUUUGUUCAUGAGUGUGUCUGUUUCAUCAUGUCCAUGCCAAAACUGGGAAUUUUAAUUUAAAAUAUUUAUUAAUUAUUCUAUUAAUAUAAUAGAAUGAAAAUUGAUAUAUCAAUUUUGUUUUAGUGUUCACUUCAUUGUUUAGUAAAUUUUAAUUUUCAAGCACUCAUUUUCCAUUUAUAAGCUUACUCAUUAAUUUUCUAUUUUAUCUUAUUGUCUAUUUGUUAUUUAUCCAAUUUGUCUUGUAGUACUAAAGAAAAUAAUGUUUUUAAAGUGCUUACCAUUGCAGUAUAUACUACUUGG